rnacentral:rRNA from 1 species
AGGGAAUCUUCCACAAUGGACGAAAGUCUGAUGGAGCAACGCCGCGUGAGUGAAGAAGGUUUUAGGAUCGUAAAACUCUGUUGUUGGAGAAGAACAGGGACUAGAGUAACUGUUAGUCCUUUGACGGUAUCCAACCAGAAAGCCACGGCUAACUACGUGCCAGCAGCCGCGGUAAUACGUAGGUGGCAAGCGUUGUCCGGAUUUAUUGGGCGUAAAGCGAGCGCAGGCGGUUUUUUAAGUCUGAUGUGAAAGCCUUCGGCUUAACCGAAGAAGUGCAUUAGAAACUGGGAAACUUGAGUGCAGAAGAGGACAGUGGAACUCCAUGUGUAGCGGUGAAAUGCGUAGAUAUAUGGAAGAACACCAGUGGCGAAGGCGGCUGUCUGGUCUGUAACUGACGCUGAGGCUCGAAAGUAUGGGGAGCGAAC